GUAGGUGAACCUGCGGAAGGAUCAUUAACUCAAUAUAUGCAUGUCACUUCGGUGGCGUGUAUCUAUUAUCAAACCAAAAUUAACAAUCCGUGAAUUUUAAAAACAAAAAUGAAUGAGUUUCGCGUGUCAUUACUUCGUUUGAAUGCACGUACUCAGCCAAUACCAAUUCCACUUUAUUUUAACCAUAUUAACCCAUUACCGUAACGUUUGCUCGUCAAGCGUACUAAAACAAGCGUGUGUUCAUUACUUAAUUGAAAUGUCCAUACACCAACUUAUUCUAAAAAAGAGAAAUACAACUCUUAACAAUGGAUAUCUUGGCUCUC
rnacentral:misc_RNA from 1 species